rnacentral:rRNA from 1 species
GACGUAGGGGGCGAGCGUUGUCCGGAUUUAUUGGGCGUAAAGAGCGCGUAGGCGGCCCGGAAAGUCGGAUGUGAAAACCCGGGGCUCAACCCCGGGCCUGCAUCCGAUACUCCCGGGCUGGAGGCAGGUAGGGGAGAUCGGAAUUCCUGGUGUAGCGGUGAAAUUCGUAGAUAUCGGGAGGAACACCAGUGGCGAAGGCGGCGACCUGGACAGAUAUUGACGCUGAGGUGCGAAAGCGUGGGGAGCAAACAGG